CCACUCUACAAAAUCAGGGAUUGGCUCUUCUUCUCUUGUGACACGUUUGUAUUCAUAUCAGCAUCCUCUGCCUUUUUUCAGAUGCGAUUGCUUCUCCUUGAAACUCAUACGUUUAGGUGGAGAGGCCCAUAUCUUAUAUAUACCAAGUAUUAGGCCGGACCGAUGUGGAUCGGGUUGAGUAUGUGCGGAUCGGACUCUGAUACCAUAUUAGACUGUGGGCUUCCAACCUAAAACCAAUUGGCAAUAGGUGGAGAGACCCAUAUCUUAUAUAUACCACUUAAGAUCUUACUCAACUUCCGAUGUGGGACAUUGUCCCUAAUAUUAACCAUCAAAGUACUAUGAUUGAUCGGUUUAGUGACGCUAAUCACAUUUCCGUGUUCAUCGAUUUCUCUUCCAAGUGCAUCCACACGCAGAACAAAGCCCUUGGUCUGUUUAUGUGCCAAGUCCUGAAAUCGCUUAACAGCUAC
rnacentral:sRNA from 1 species